GAGGGUAUAGCUCAGUGGUAGAGCAUGUGUUUAGCAUGCGUGAGGUCCUGGAUUCAAUCCCCAGUACCUCCA
rnacentral:tRNA from 1 species